GUGCCCGUAGCUCAAUGGAUAGAGUAACAGAUUCCGAUUCUGGUGGUUGGAGGUUCGAGUCCUCUCGGGUGCG
rnacentral:tRNA from 1 species